AAACAAAUCUCAGCAACGGAUGAAGAACGCAGCGAAAUGCGAUACGUAGUGUGAAUUGCAGAAUUCCGCGAAUCAUCGAGUUUUUGAACGCAAGUUGCGCCCGAGGCUUGUGCCGAGGGCAUGUCUGCCUGAGCGUCACC
rnacentral:rRNA from 1 species